GCUGGUGUAGCCGAGUGGUUAUGGUGCAUGCGCGUUUUGAAAACGUUUUUGCUCAUGGGCAUAGGUUCGAACCCCAUCGGCGGCA
rfam:Aedes aegypti strain Liverpool supercont1.518 genomic scaffold, whole genome shotgun sequence.